rnacentral:lncRNA from 1 species
UAUAAACUCACAUAUUUUUGCCAAAAGUGUACAAGCAGUCUCAUUUCACUGGGACAAAAAAUAUUUUUGUUCUCCACAGGUCACUGAAUGAAGUCAUUGUACAAUUCAGAGAAGCUAUACAUAGAAACUGAACUGGGUGUGAAAAACAAUACUGUGUCACUUACAGUUGAACUGAAACAUUGUGAAUGUGUUAAUACCUGCUAUAAAACAAUGUUUUAUCUAAUAAACAGUAUUAACCCGCUUGCUAAAUAGGCUUUGACUUAUGCACGUAUUUCCAGAACUGUUCAACAUCUCAUACUGAUACAGGAUCCAUACAGUUGCUAAUUUUUAGUUUUAAUAGGGUAUAAGCAAAAAAUAAUAGAA